AGAAGGGAGCUGCUGUCUGCGGAGGAAACUGCAUCGACGGACGGCCGCCCAGCUACGGGAGGACCUGGAGUGGCACUGGGCGCCCGACGGACCAUCCCCGGGACCCGCCUGCCCCUCGGCGCCCCGCCCCGCCGGGCCGCUCCCCGUCGGGUUCCCCAGCCACAGCCUUACCUACGGGCUCCUGACUCCGCAAGGCUUCCAGAAGAUGCUCGAACCACCGGCCGGGGCCUCGGGGCAGCAGUGAGGGAGGCGUCCAGCCCCCCACUCAGCUCUUCUCCUCCUGUGCCAGGGGCUCCCCGGGGGAUGAGCAUGGUGGUUUUCCCUCGGAGCCCCCUGGCUUGGGACGUCUGAGAAGAUGCCGGUCAUGAAGCUGUUCCCUUGCUUCCUGCAGCUCCUGGCCGGGCUGGCGCUGCCUGCUGUGCCCCCCCAGUGGUGCCCUUCCAGGAAGUGUGGGGCCGCAGCUACUGCCGGGCGCUGGAGAGGCUGGUGGACAUCGUGUCUGAGUACCCCAGCGAGGUGGAGCACAUGUUCAGCCCAUCCUGUGUCUCCCUGCUGCGCUGCACCGGCUGCUGCGGCGAUGAGAACCUGCACUGUGUGCCGGUGGAGACGGCCAAUGUCACCAUGCAGCUCCUAAAGAUCCGUUCUGGGGCCCGGCCCUCCUACGUGGAACUGACGUUCUCUCAGCACGUUCGCUGCGAAUGCCGGUAGGUCUCCGGGGUGGGGUGGGUAGCAAGGAAAGGCCCCCGUCCUCUUGGCAGCUUCAGCAAAGAUGGGUCCCAGGGCAGAGGCAAAGGCUGCCCAUCCCCGCUGC
rnacentral:sRNA from 1 species